CCAGGUAUCCAGGCGAGUAACACAACUCUCUGCUUUACCUGACUAGGAGUCGCACACUGUUGUCUUCGGUUUCAGUCCACUCCCUGCUUUUGCACCGUCCUUAAUCAUGCCAUCAGGUUGCCAGGCUGCACCUUGCUCCUGAGUUUUAUCUGAGAUGCGGCUGUAUUUCCUGACCCCUCACUUCUGAGGGACUGAUGCUUUGACCCGCUCAGAUCCUCUGGGGUGGGGUGGGGAGGGGGUCUCAUGGAGCAAUGGCCGGGUGCCAGUAGCACCCAGGAAUGCUGGUGAGACCUUGCUGCUUCCUGUGUCCACAGACUUGUGGCGGGGUGCCAGCCCAUCCCAGAAAAAUUUCACUAAGUUACUAAGCAGCCGCUUUUCCAGGGUUGUGGAAAAUCUCGCGUGGACAGAGGACCUCCCGGACCCACUCUCCUGGGAAUUUGCCCUUCCCACCAGAGCACCACAGGUACAGCAGCCAGUCUGGCCUCAGAUGCCAUUCAGGCCUCUUUCACCUUGAAUUUUCCCUACUGCCAUUGUGCCUGGGGCCUCCAUGCUCCCCCGCCACCGGUCAGGGCAGGCUCUCCAGCUCCCAGUCUCAGUCUUCUCCACAGCUUGUGAGCAGUGUCACAGAACAGCCACCUUACAAGAACAGAGGAGAAUCUGGACCUGGAGAAGUCCUGUCCUGUGGCCCUGCACCAGUGGGACUCAAAAUCAGAGAAGUGGGGAAAAAAACCCUGCUCUGGACUGUAAGAGAACCCAGUCUGGACAGCAGAGGGCGCCAUGCAGUCAGUGCCGGCGGGAAACCAAAAAGGUGGCGAUUGAGAAUUCCCAGAUUUCCUUGCCUUUUCUCUCUCGCCGAAUUCAUAAAUCAGAAAGCCUGGGAUCUAAUCCCCAUAAUACUAGUAUUCUCAACAAACCGUACACGAACUGUAAGGGCACCUGGAAGGGGGCAGGCUGACCUGCAUCGUCUUGACAGCAAAGGAUGAUUGGAGCCAGGGGUCCUGUUCAGAGCUGAUGAAAUGUCUAUGAAACUUUUCCCUCCCCCCCCCCCCAUGCUAGUUCUCCUGAGUCACCACCCGGAGAGUGUUCCAUAGAAGGGGAGGGAGAUGAAAAAGCCACAUCAUCCUCUCUUCCCUUUAGCUCUUUUCCAAGCUUUUUAAAAAAUUUUUCAGCUUCUCUCCUUAGUCAUUUUCCCCCUCUAAUGUUUUGUUUCAGAAUUAGCUGGAAGACUUCUUCCCCCUACCACCCCCCCCUUCAGCAUUUUGCUUAUCCUUUAGUUUAUUGAGCUCUGGAGAAUUUAUGCCCUAUAAAUAAAUAAAGGUAUUAUUAUUAUGUAGCUCUAUUCAAAGAAUUAGUUGAAGGGGAAAAGUGACAUUUUUCUUUAUUUCCUUAGAAAUGUAUUACAGUCACCAUAGCUCUCCCCUAGCCAUGGAUUAAUGGCAUAAUCAUUCACACUGGGCAACUGAGAUGGAAUGAGUUUGAACUUGGCAUGAAUUAAUAUACUAAAAUAUGCCUCCUGUUCUCUCUCAUUGCCUAAUUAAUUCUGAAUUAUGAAAUUCCCUUUGAGCUUCCCAAAAAUCAUGGUCAUUGGAUUCUGGUGCAAUUAUUCUUUCUUUGCAAUAAAAAUCAAGUGAUUUGAUAAUUA